UAGGGAAUCUUCGGCAAUGGACGGAAGUCUGACCGAGCAACGCCGCGUGAAUGAAGAAGGUUUUCGGAUCGUAAAGCUCUGUUGUUAGAGAAGAACGUUGGUAGGAGUGGAAAAUCUACCAAGUGACGGUAACUAACCAGAAAGGGACGGCUAACUACGUGCCAGCAGCCGCGGUAAUACGUAGGUCCCGAGCGUUGUCCGGAUUUAUUGGGCGUAAAGCGAGCGCAGGCGGUUCUUUAAGUCUGAAGUUAAAGGCAGUGGCUUAACCAUUGUACGCUUUGGAAACUGGAGGACUUGAUUGCAGAAGGGGAGAGUGGAAUUCCAUGUGUAGCGGUGAAAUGCGUAGAUAUAUAGAGGAACACCGGUGGCGAAAGCGGCUCUCUGGUCUGUAACUGACGCUGAGGCUCGAAAGCGUGGGGGGCAAACAGG
rnacentral:rRNA from 1 species